UACGUAGGGGGCAAGCGUUGUCCGGAUUUAUUGGGCGUAAAGAGCGUGUAGGCGGCCCGACAGGUCCGUUGUGAAAACUCGAGGCUCAACCUCGAGACGUCGAUGGAAACCGUCGGGCUAGAGUCCGGAAGAGGAGAGUGGAAUUCCUGGUGUAGCGGUGAAAUGCGCAGAUAUCAGGAGGAACACCCGUGGCGAAAGCGGCUCUCUGGGACGGUACUGACGCUGAGGCGCGAAAGCGUGGGGAGCAAACAGG
rnacentral:rRNA from 1 species